rnacentral:sRNA from 1 species
UUGUAUGCGUUAGGGAUGGGAGCGGCAUCCUUUUUAUUUUUUCUUUAAAAAUGAAAAGAUAUAGCGGACAGCCCGACCGUAG